rnacentral:tRNA from 1 species
UGGUUGUUCGUCUAGCGGCAGGACGGCUGUUUGUGGCACAGCAGAGGCAGGUUCGACUCCUGUACUUCCACCCA